rnacentral:rRNA from 1 species
GACGAACGCUGGCGGCGCGCUUAACACAUGCAAGUCGAGCGAGAACCUGGGCUUCGGCCCUGGGGACAGCGGCGAACGGGUGAGUAACACGUGGGUAAUCUGCCCUUGACAUCGGGAUAGCCCGGGGAAACCCGGAUUAAUACCGAAUAGCCUCCGGAGCCCUCGGGCGCCGGAGAAAAGGUAGCUUCGGCCUCUGGUCAAGGAUGAGCCCGCGGCGGAUUAGCUUGUUGGCGGGGUAACGGCCCACCAAGGCGACGAUCCGUAGCUGGUCUGAGAGGACGAUCAGCCACACUGGGACUGAGACACGGCCCAGACUCCUACGGGAGGCAGCAGUGGGGAAUCUUGCGCAAAUGCGGGAAACCGUGACGCAGCGACGCCGCGUGGGGGAAGAAGGCCUUCGGGUUGUAAACCUCUUUCAGGAGGGACGAAGCUACUCGGGUUAAUAGCCCAGAGGGUGACGGUACCUCCAGAAGAAGCCCCGGCUAACUACGUGCCAGCAGCCGCCGUAAUAC